GGAGCAGAUAAACGCAGUAUAUAAUUUAAUUAUACUGAGGAAAGUCCGUACCUCUAAAGGGAUUCAUGCAAGCUAACGGCUUGGAGGCUUUGAAAAAGGCUUACGGAAAGUGCAACAGAAAGUAUACCGCCACAUAUAUGUAAAUAUGAGUGGUAAGGGUGAAAUGGUGUGGUAAGAGCAUACCGCAUGGCUGGCAACAGACAUGGCAGUGCAAACCCCAUGAGAGGCAAGAUCAAAUAGAGACGUUAUAGAUUACCCUUUUCAAAGUCUCAGGUAGAUCGCUAUAAGGAUUAUAGUGAUAUAAUUCACAGAUAAAUGUUUAUCAAAUACAAAAUACGGCUUAUAGCUCCACUUU
rnacentral:RNase_P_RNA from 1 species